AGGAAAUAGAUACCCGGGUAGUCCACGCCCUAAACGAUGGAUACUCGACAUACGCGAUACACAGUGUGUGUCUGAGCGAAAGCAUUAAGUAUCCCACCUGGGAAGUACGACCGCAAGGUUGAAACUCAAAGGAAUUGGCGGGGGUCGCACAAGCGAUGGAGCAUGUGGUUUAAUUCGAUGAUACGCGAGGAACCUUACCUGGGCGUAGAAUGCAGAUUGACCGUGGGUGAAAGCUCAUUUUGUUAGCAAUACACAGUCUGUAAGGUGCUGCAUGGCUGUCGUCAGCUCGUGCCGUGAGGUGUUGGGUUUAAGUCCCGCAACGAGCGCAACCCCCACUCAUU
rnacentral:rRNA from 1 species